GGGAAAGUACUAAUGUUGAGGACAUGUUUCUUUCUCAUAUCUUCGGAAUGGACACUCUGGCCCGUGGCCUCCACAACGUUGUCAAGCUGAUUGAGAUGAUAUUUUCCGCAAAGCGGUACUAGAGUUUUGAUAGUGAGAUUGGUGCCUUGAUCGAGGAUGGGAAAGCAGACUUCGAGAUGCUAAAAAGAAGGUUCUAGAGUGCAGUGCACUGUUCCAUCCGGCAAGCAGGAACUGGCAAAGAUUCUAUUUCAGUAUGCUCUACAGAUGGUGCGAUGUCCAUAGCUCUAGGAAUAAGCACAAGCAUGCGCUCUCCAAACACGCAUUUGUUCUCCUCACCACGGGUUAGUACGAGCGUGGGACUGAGAUAAUCCAGACGUAACGUAUCAAAAUUCAUUUGUUUCGAGUGGAAUCAAACUGAAGUUAGUUAAAGCUUAUCAUGCAUUCCAUCUUUGAUGUGCACGAUCGUGUUUGGUACUUGAUAUUGUUUCAUAGUGUGGCAACGGUGAUGUUGCUGAGUAGCACAACGGAACACUUGGCAUGCAUGAGUUCUUCCCAUUACAUGUUUUGUUUCGUCCUUCUAAAAGUAUAUAUUGUAGCAUU